rnacentral:rRNA from 1 species
UACAGAGGUCUCGAGCGUUAGGCGGAAUCACUGGGCUUAAAGCGUGUGUAGGUGGAUCGGUAAGUACCUCGUGAAAUCCCACGGCUUAACCGUGGAACUGCUUGGUAUACUGCCAGUCUUGAGCCAGCUAGGGGCUACCGGAACAAAUGGUGGAGCGGUGAAAUGCGUAGAUAUCAUUUGGAACGCCAAUGGUGAAAACAGGUAGCUGGGGCUGUGCUGACACUGAGACACGAAAGCCAGGGGAGCAAACGGG